rnacentral:lncRNA from 1 species
AGGAUUCUAAGCAUCCCCCUUCAUGUGCGGCGCAGACCACUUUGCCAGAGCGGCUGCUGGUUGGCGGGAGGAGAUAGACGGCCUUAGGGCUAUCUCGGGAAGCGUUGCCUAACAAAGGCAUCAGUUCGAAUGAUGACUCAUUGUAUACGUGGGAGGCCCGGUUGAAUCAAAACAAAAAGAUAUAGUUGGGUUGGGAGGGUCGAAAAAAGUGAUCUAUGACCUUUCAUCAUCUUCACACCCUUUCUACUGUUCUUUUCAUAAGAAGAAAGAAGAAAAAGAAUGACAAAAUAACAAAAUCAGAUGUUUACAAUUUUGACACCAACACAACAAACAACAAACAACAAACAAGACUCAAUAGAAGGAAUCAAAAUCAUUGAAAGAGCGCGGAGCCCAGUUCAGGCUCGCUUCAUAGACUGAACGAGCCAAGCUCUAUGGCUGGCUGUAAUGUCAAGGCUAGUAGGUCGCUGAAAUAAGCUGUAAAACCCACCAAGAAACUCCUCUUCAACUAACCAGCUGGAAUAGAUAGAAAAAGGGCUGAAAGAGGGGCUGGGCUUUUCUUCUUCCCCCUUCAAUCUUCAAAUGGUUGCUGCUCACGCUCACAUAGUAGCCUCAUCAAGCUGAAUAGAUUGAGUUGUAAUGAGGCUGAAACAAGAAAGAUGAUGAAAGCCUUGCCCUGCCCCUCUUCAAUUUCUAUUAAUCUAGUGAGCUAGCUGGCUGCUAACUCCUUCAAUCCCAAUCUUCAGUUUUUGUUGUGGGUCCAAUCAGACUCAAAAUGGAUGCUGAAAGCGAUUGCAGCCUGAAGCUGGUUCCAUAGCUGCAAAUGAGCCCUUUCUUCCUUUUUGGAGAAAACAGUUUCUUAACGAAGUUCAGUAAAGCCGCGUUGUAGGCCGCGCAAACGGCAUUUCCGGCCGAAGUUGCAGACCCACUUGAAGAAGUUAUGACGAGAUUGUCAGAGAGUCAAACACGACAUGGACGUCAUACUACACAACACAAGCAGAGACGAGAGGGAGCCGACUACGGAACUGCACAGCAAACGACCGGAAACUGCGAGGAGGAAACGAAGCGUGGAAGGCGGGGAACACUAAGAUGACUCGCGCCGUUGACGGGACAGAACAGCAUCACAGAGACAUGGCCCCAUAGUACUACAUAUCCAGGGAAGGCAGUACUUAACCCGCUGCACUGAAGAAACGUGUUGCAGGCAAGCACAAGCAAGUCGGAGUCUCGUUGCAUGCUCGUUGCUCCGACAAAGGAGUUUAAUGAGAGGCACGCUACGAGUCGAGCAGACUGGCACGUUCAGCAAGCUUUCGCUGGCAUGACAGGUAUCGUCACUUUAGCAAGA